UGCUGCAGGUAGCGCAGGCAGUGCUGGUGGCUGAGGCCGACCAGCUGGUGCAGGAUGUCCUCGCCGAUGCGGGUGCCAAGCUCGCUGGCGGCAUC
rnacentral:tRNA from 1 species